rnacentral:lncRNA from 1 species
CACACCCAUGGCCAUGGCAGACACUCCCGUUAAGUAUUACUGUACUACGAGUGAAGCUCAUUUGACCAAGCAAAGCAUGAUAGACGCUCCGGUUAAGUAUACGAGUGAGACUCGCAGGGAGCUCUCUCUAAAACCGAUGGGUUGCCAUCCUCACUUGUGCACGCAUCCAAAGAUUCCGAAGUUUAGCAGCACUGCAGCAGCAGCAGCAGCCCCAUGUGCCGGCCUCCGUCGUUCAUUCAGUUGUACCUUCGCCUCACCCACUCUACGUGUUGAAGGUCGUGUGUGCUCCAAUCCAAG